rnacentral:tRNA from 1 species
AGGAGAAUUAAGUAUAUAAAAAAAGCUGCUAACUAUUUUUAAAGCGGUUAAACUCCGUUUUUCUCCUA